rnacentral:tRNA from 1 species
GCAACAGUGGUGUAGUGGUAUCAUGCAAAAUUCCCAUUCUUGUUACCCGCAUUCGAUUCCCAGCUGGUGCA